rnacentral:rRNA from 1 species
AUUGAACGCUGGCGGCAGGCUUAACACAUGCAAGUCGAGCGGAGAUGAGGUGCUUGCACCUUAUCUUAGCGGCGGACGGGUGAGUAAUGCUUAGGAAUCUGCCUAUUAGUGGGGGACAACAUUCCGAAAGGAAUGCUAAUACCGCAUACGUCCUACGGGAGAAAGCAGGGGAUCUUCGGACCUUGCGCUAAUAGAUGAGCCUAAGUCGGAUUAGCUAGUUGGUGGGGUAAAGGCCUACCAAGGCGAUGAUCUGUAGCGGGUCUGAGAGGAUGAGCCGCCACACUGGAACUGUGACACGGCCCAGACUCCUACGGGAGGAAGCAGUUGGGAAUAUUGUGCAAUGGGGGGAACCCUGAUCCAGCCAUGCCGCGCGUGUGAAGAGGGCCUUAUGGUUGUAAAGCACUUUAAGCGAGGAGGAGGCUACUGAGACUAAUACUCUUGGAUAGUGGACGUUACUCGCAGAAUAAGCACCGGCUAACUCUGUGCCAGCAGCCGCGGUAACAC